UUUAUGGUGGCAGACAAAAUUGAACAUUCAGCAUAAAUAUUUUAUUCUUGAGAAAAUCACUAUUUACAUUGCAAAAAAUCCUUUCCCGAGAUUCAUUCAUUUGAAUCUUGCCUAAACCAUAUUAAUAGAUGUUUUGAAUUUUCAAUUUUCAAUUUUCAAAUUAUGCUUAAUAUAUUCUGUUGUUUUCUAUAUUUCUUUUGUUUUUGUUUUUGUUUUGUAAUGGGUAGUAAAUUUUAGGGCAUUGUUUGGCUGUUUGAGAUGGUUGAUGCCGAUGACGGUGCUGGUUGAAAGGGAGGUGAAGAUCUACAUCUUUCUUUCUUUAAUUUUCUUCUCUGUUCCUUAAUGUUUUUCGCCAGGAAAUUGAGGAGCAUGCUAUUAGGUGUGGAGAAGAAGAGGAAAUAAUAAGAAGAGUUUGAUUCUAAUUUCACCUCAAGACCUCAGACUUCGAACAUGGAUGAAUCUGAGUCGUGGCAAGUCGGUUUUUGGACUGGAGCAUGGCUCAAAACUGGAGUAGGUUCAUUGGCACAAUAGGAAUUAAUUGGAUGCGACUAUACUGCAGUAGCGAUCGAAGAGUUGAAGGUCUCGAUUGAAAGCUCAAGCUCCACAGAAAACUGGAAGCGAAUGUAACAACAAGAAAAAUGCAACUUCAGAAUAGACAAUGUUUGACAUACUGGUGCCACGGUGGCAGCGACAUUGGUUUUGUUUUGGUUUAUAAAUUGUUGAAAUUGAUUUUAUAGAAGGUAGUUGAAUUAUAAUUUAGAGAGGAAAAAGAAAAGCGGUGUGAUGCUAUCUCUAAUGUGAUGAUUUUUGAAGAUUCAGCUUUGGGAUGAUUUUAUUGGAACUUACUCAUAAAUGUUUGGAUGGCCUUUUUUGGGGAAGAAUUGAUUUUUUUUCUCUGAAAGUGCCUUUAGAAUCCUUACAAAAACAAACUCCUCUUUUUUUAUUCUAAUUUUAAUUUCUAUUUAAAUGCUACUUCAUCGACACUUUGGAAAUAUCUACUAGGAUUAGUGAAUAUUAAUGUUGGUUAAUGCAAUAAUUAAAUUCGCUGAAUGACUUUAACUAAAAUUAUAUUUUUUAUUUACUCUAUUUUUA